rnacentral:tRNA from 1 species
GGAAGGGUGUAGCUCAGUGGUAGAGCAUCUGCUUUGUAUGCAGAGGGUCCCUGGUUCAAUCCCCAGCAUCUCCA